rnacentral:rRNA from 1 species
UACGGAGGGGGCUAGCGUUGUUCGGAAUUACUGGGCGUAAAGCGCACGUAGGCGGCUUUGUAAGUUAGAGGUGAAAGCCUGGUGCUCAACACCAGAACUGCCUUUAAGACUGCAUCGCUUGAAUCAUGGAGAGGCGGGUGGAAUUCCGAGUGUAGAGGUGAAAUUCGUAGAUAUUCGGAAGAACACCAGUGGCGAAGGCGGCCCGCUGGACAUGUAUUGACGCUGAGGUGCGGAAGCGUGGGGAGCAAACAGG